CACCAAAGGAGGUGGGGAAAGACUGAAAGGAACACAGAGACUCUGUGAAGCAGUCACUCCCAGGCAGGGCUGUCAAAGAGGAAACCACCUCAGAGGCAGCCAGACUACAGCACGGCGCACAAUCAAAUGAUACAGCACAUAACUGCUCCGUGUGAAAAGAGAACAAGCCUGAGGACCACACUAAGGAAAGAGACAUGAAAAAAGGAAGAAAAGAUUAAAAAGGAGUGUGAAGGACAACAGAAGAGCAGUGACUGGGAUUUGGUUUUUCUGUGCAGACCAUCAUCAGUGCCUGAAUUACACUGCGAACCCUAACUGCAACCUGACUGCUAAUCUCUGGCAGUGUCUGAGCACCACCUGUGGGUGACGUGCUGCUCAUUCCAACAACAAACUAACACGCUGACUAAUUCAGCAGGUAAGAACGCAUUCAUCACCGUCUCCUCCUCCUCAUCAACUGGUCCGCUUACGUCUGCUUUAUAACUUCCACCAGUUACACUGGGUUCGGCUGAGUGUGUGAAAACAACAAAGACUCACACUGGAUGGAUGCUAGAGAAGAGACACUGUACCUGCUGAGCAGGAUGUGGGUCAAGCUGAAGGGUCUGCCCAACGCCCACCCUGUCGAACUGGGAGCUUUCUUUAUCCUCUUAACCUUCAUCUUGAUGGUGCUGCUCAUGUCAGUUAUAACUUGCCUGACCUGUUGCUGCUUUCGCAAGACCAAGGUGAAAGGGUCAAACAUUUGAGCAAAUCUGCACAGGCAAUCCCUGGACAUCUAACUCUCAAACCAAGCACCUAAACACUGGAAGCUUCACUGCAAAGCGUCCUCAACAAUGCAUAAAAGGCUUCCUCUGCAGCUCUCUCAAGCAAGCACCAUGGAAUAAAAACUUGGUCUGAGAGACAUGGUAUUAUAAUUAAAUAAAGCAGAGAUCCAAGAUUCAACUCAGUGAAGCCUGAUACAGGGUGUGUUCAGCAGCAGUGAAGAGGCCCAACCCUCACAUAACAAAGGACAUAACAAACAGAGGAGGAUGUCCUGCCACUUUCCUAAAGCGGCCAGACUUUCAGGAGGAUCUGCAUUCCUCAGAGCAUCCCUGCACUUUAAAGGACAACAAAAGCACCUCAGAGAAAGGCAGGGCCAUCCCCAACUGUGUUUAAUAAUGUAGAAAAAAAAUACACCGAAUAUAAGAGAUUAAACAUGUAGAACGAUAAAAACAAACUGCAGAGCGAGCUGCAUGGUGAGAUGAUGGGGAAAGCUGAACCGAUUCAUUAAUGUUUUUCUAAACUUGUCUAUGUGUCAUUCUUAAAGAAUGAGAAGUAGCAGCCAGACACAAGAGUUACAGUAGGUACGAUCCUUCUGAGGCAAAGCUGUUCUCAAACCAAAGUCUCCCUUGACACACUGUAAGACUAGUCCACCCUCUGCUGUACAUAAACUGAAAUAGCAUGUAAAUAAUGAAAGUUAUGUUUAGUGUGCAUAACUGCAUGUUGUAUUUGUGCAAAGGGGAAAGACAUUAUUGACACUUAGUGUUCCACUUACUUUGAUUUGUAUGCAAUAAACAAAAGAUGACUGUGUGCAC